UGCCCCUCAUUUCUUCCUGGCACAACCUACAAUUUUCUGAUGGUUUGGGUGAUACGCUUUUCAUUAAAGUACGGCUUCACACUGUUCUCUCAGUCCCCGGUGACCAUGAGAUAAGUGCGAUGGCGAUAUUUUCCCGAGAAGCCCCAAGGCUGCCAAUCCCCAGCCUUCUGACCGUGAGAAGUACCAGUCCCCUUCACAAAUCAACAUGGACAACUCUUCAAAUUCGAUUCUCGGGUACAAGUUCACAGCUAAUUCCUGCAAGAAUUUCAUUAUUAACUGAAGCAUAAUUUAGAAUCUGUGAUUGAAAUGCCCGCCUGCUACAAUCCCCAGCUUUCCUCUUCAACUAGAUUACCCUACGGUUGUUGGGAAAUGUAUUAAGUGCAAGCUAAAUAAAGUUACAUUUACAUGCUUGGAUAUACACAA